rnacentral:rRNA from 1 species
GGGCCCGCACAAGCGGUGGAGCAUGUGGUUUAAUUCGAUGAUACGCGAGGAACCUUACCAGGGCUUAAAUGGGAAAUGACAGGGCAGAGACGCCCCUUCUUCGGACAUUUUUCAAGGUGCUGCAUGGUUGUCGUCAGCUCGUGCCGUGAGGUGUCAGGUUAAGUCCUAUAACGAGCGCAACCCCUGUUGUUAGUUGCCAUCGAGUCAUGUCGGGAACUCUAACAAGACUGCCGGUGCAAACCGUGAGGAAGGUGGGGAUGACGUCAAAUCAUCACGGCCCUUAUGUCUUGGCUUCACGCAUGCUACAAUGGCCGGUACAGAGGGCAGCUACCCCGCGAGGGGAUG